rnacentral:rRNA from 1 species
GUAGUCUGCAACUCGACUACAUGAGCCGGAAUCGCUAGUAAUCGCGAAUCAGAAUGUCGCGGUGAAUACGUUCCCGGGUCUUGUACACACCGCCCGUCACACCAUGGGAGCCGGAAAUGUCCGAAGUCAGUGGCCCAACCGCAAGGAGGGAGCUGCCGAAGGUGGAGCUGGUGACUGGGGUGAAGUCGUAACAAGGUAAC